rnacentral:piRNA from 1 species
UCCAAGUUUGUAAGGACCUGAAGGCCCUGGG